GUGCUUGCUUCAGCAGCAUGUAUUCUAAAAUUGGAAUGAUACAGAGAAGAUUAGUGUGGCAAGGAGGACACGCAAAUUUGUGAAGCAUUUCAUAUUUUC
rnacentral:snRNA from 1 species